AUUGGGCGUAAGCGAGCGCAGGCGGUUUCUUAAGUCUGAUGUGAAAGCCUUCGGCUCAMCCGAAGAAGUGCAUCGGAAACUGGGAAACUUGAGUGCAGAAGAGGACAGUGGAACUCCAUGUGUAGCGGUGAAAUGCGUAGAUAUAUGGAAGAACACCAGUGGCGAAGGCGGCUGUCUGGUCUGUAACUGACGCUGAGGCUCGAAAGCAUGGGUAGCAAACAGGAUUAGAUACCCUGGUAGUCCAUGCCGUAAACGAUGAGUGCUAGGUGUUGGAGGGUUUCCGCCCUUCAGUGCCGCAGCUAACGCAUUAAGCACUCCGCCUGGGGAGUACGACCGCAAGGUUGAAACUCAAAGGAAUUGACGGGGGCCCGCACAAGCGGUGGAGCAUGUGGUUUAAUUCGAAGCAACGCGAAGAACCUUACCAGGUCUUGACAUCCUUUGACCACUCUAGAGAUAGAGCUUUCCCUUCGGGGACAAAGUGACAGGUGGUGCAUGGUUGUCGUCAGCUCGUGUCGUGAGAUGUUGGGUUAAGUCCCGCAACGAGCGCAACCCUUAUUACUAGUUGCCAGCAUUUAGUUGGGCACUCUAGUGAGACUGCCGGUGACAAACCGGAGGAAGGUGGGGACGACGUCAAAUCAUCAUGCCCCUUAUGACCUGGGCUACACACGUGCUACAAUGGAUGGUACAACGAGUCGCGAGACCGCGAGGUUUAGCUAAUCUCUUAAAACCAUUCUCAGUUCGGAUUGUAGGCUGCAACUCGCCUACAUGAAGCCGGAAUCGCUAGUAAUCGCGGAUCAGCAUGCCGCGGUGAAUACGUUCCCGGGCCUUGUACACACCGCCCGUCACACCAUGAGAGUUUGUAACACCCAAAGCCGGUGAGGUAACCUUC
rnacentral:rRNA from 2 species